AAGAUGAUCUCGGGGGUCGUCCUGGGAGCAUUGUGCAGAAUUAUGCAACAAAGGGUGGUUCCGAAUUUUUUUUCAUAGUGAACAUACAGGUCCCUGGAUAAAAAACGUACAAUUUAGCACUGUACUAUAUGACGAGUAAUCUGGAAGAUGCACCUCUGCUGCAGAAUUUCGUUGACAGAGACGAUGCUUACAGAAAUUCAAGGUUCAAACUUAUUCUAUACAUAUCUAAGGUCGGUAACAUUCUGGUCUGAGGCUUGGGAAUUAUGCUAUCUUGUCCCUCUUAUGAAAUCGAUAGCUCGUAUUGAGCAUGCAUUGGAAUGCUUUAAAGGAUUAUUUCCUGGACAUACAAUAUGUUUUCCAACUGCCUUCUCAUAUUUGAAGUUGCAAUCACACAAAUUUAUUGGCCAACAUU